GAGCAGUGGGGAAUAUUGGACAAUGGGCGCAAGCCUGAUCCAGCAAUGCCGCGUGUGUGAAGAAGGCCUUCGGGUUGUAAAGCACUUUAGUCAGGGAAGAAAAAGCUCAAGCUAAUACCUUGAGUGUUGACGGUACCUGAAGAAUAAGCACCGGCUAACUCUGUGCCAGCAGCCGCGGUAAUACAGAGGGUGCAAGCGUUAAUCGGAUUUACUGGGCGUAAAGGGUGUGUAGGUGGUUGUUCAAGUCGGUUGUGAAAGCCCUGGGCUUAACCUAGGAAUUGCUUCCGAUACUGAAUAGCUAGAGUACGGUAGAGGGCGGUGGAAUUUCCGGUGUAGCGGUGAAAUGCGUAGAUAUCGGAAGGAACAUCAAUGGCGAAGGCAGCCGCCUGGGCCUGUACUGACACUGAGACACGAAAGCGUGGGGAUCAAACAGGAUUAGAUACCCUGGUAGUCCACGCCGUAAACGAUGAGAACUUGACGUUGGCGUGCUUUGCAUGUCGGUGUCGUAGCUAACGCGCUAAGUCUCCGCCUGGGAGACGCGAG
rnacentral:rRNA from 1 species